rnacentral:lncRNA from 1 species
CCCUUUAAUCUUAUGUUAAAAUAAACAACCCCUCCUUUCUAACUCAAAAUAUAUUAGAGAAAUCCGCUCCUAUGCCCUAAAUGAUGAUUUUUUUUUUAACACCAAAAUUUAUUAGAUAGUGAGAGAAGUUAAAAGAGUAUUUAACCCAUAAUUUUAAAAAAGUACAAGGGGUACUCGCCUCGAAGGGAAAAAAAAACCCAACAUCAAGAAAUAAGACAGUAUAUGGUUCGAAAACCAUUUGUAAAACAAACAAAGACUCCCUAAUUUCCUAGAAAUAAACCAUCUCCAAGAGGUGACAUUGAUCGCGUCUACAAUCUCGUCCAAGUCCCAAUUUUUAGCAGAAAAAAUAACCUAUUAUUAGCUUCCCAAGUUUUCCAAAUUGUUGCAUGCCAAAUGAGUGAAAGCCGCUUUCAAUUUUUUUAGCCAAAGAAGAUGACGAAAAAUAGUCAAGGAGUAAAACAAUAUUACGUGUAAAUUCACCCAAUUCCGAUCCAUUUAAAAAUGGGAGCUUCUAUGAUGUCGUCUUAAAAAAUAAUUAAUAUGUCGCUUUUGAGAAAAACACUUAAAAUCACCUUAAAAAACUUUUUUUUUUAAACGUUUUUGAAGGAAAAGUAAAAAUGAAUUAAAUUAAUACUAACUGCAUUUUUUCCCUCUUAAAAAUCACAUUUUUUUUUAAUAUCCAAUAAAAGAAACUUCAUAAAAAUAAAUUCUUUGGAAAUUUUCCUAUUUGGUAAAAUAAAAUUUAAAGUGUUGAAUAAAAAACUUUAAUCAAUAUUUUUCAUUUGCACAUAAUUUUUAUGUAUUUUACCAUAAUAAGCACAAUAAAUUCAAAACAAAUGCUCCCUAAAAAAAAAAAUAAUCAAAACAAAUGUUAAAAAUGAUAAAUUAGAAAUGUAGAUUUCAUUCUUACUUUUCCGUUUGAUUUUUUUUUUUUUUUUAACAAUAAAAAAUGGAACUUAUAUUAACAAACCACGGACACCUCCAACUACAAGAUGUACCAAGGAGGCUCAGAGUAUUUACAAAUAUACAGAGUCAAACAAAAAUUAGCCUAGUCCCAAACAAGUCAAAGGACUUGACCACCACAAUUGGAACCCAAAAACAAAAACAACAUUAUGAGCUUUUAGCCACCAAAGAGAGUUCUGCUUUACUUUAUCCGUUUGAAAUUUUUUAAAUAAUAUAAUAUUUAAAUUGGUUUUUAGUUCAUUUUCUUAAAUGACGGUUUUAAAAUCGUCAAAUAUGCAACAACAUGGUAGAAUUUUCCUUUAAAAAUUACAUACCAAAUCCUUCCAACAAAGCUACAUCUACAAAAACAAGUGAUCCUCUACAUCUUGAAUAUAUACAUGGGUACGAAAUACAAUCCGAAGUCACACCAACGACAAAACUCCUUUACAAGAAUACUCGGGAACCACACAUAGUCUAAAGUCAUACCAAUCUGCAUAGUUUCUCUACUAGAUAAGCUUGAUCGAUUCGCAAGUCUACCAACACCAAGAGAUGAUUAAAUUACUCUCCUUUCCCUUGUUAAGUUAAAAUUUACAUUCUCCUCCUUUCAUUUUAAACUUCUUAGACAAUUUUAAUACAAUUAAAUAUCUAUUAUGCUUAUUUUUUUCACAAUUUCGUUAAUAUCAUAUUAUAGCUUUGAAGUAAAAUAAGAUAAAAUAUAAAUAUUGAAUUUCAUCAAAUAUAAAAAAGUAUUGGACACGUGAUUAAAAUUGAUAAAGAAAAGGCUUAUUAAAUUUUAUAUUCUAAAAUCAUAAAAUUAAUAAUGAAUAUUUAAAUUUAAUUAUUAUUAACAUUUGGAGUUAUAAAUAAAGGGUCUUGUUAACAAAGAAAUUAUUUCUAAUGCAAUAAAUGCACAAACUUUCAUAAAAUAUUACCACUUUGGAUGCUUAAAGAGUAUCCUAGGGACACUCGUUAGCAUUUCUCAUUAAUAAAUUAAAGUUCAUUUCUUAAAUGGUUCCUUGAAUCUUUUUUUGACAGAAAAUGAUGAUUCCAAGUUAAUUAUUAUUAUAAAAAUGUUUAUUUAAAUGAAAAUGGGUUAACAUAUAAUCCAUAUUUAAUUCUCAAGAGAGUGAAGUGUAAUCCAAACAUCUCAUAAGAGAUGAGAGUAUGAUUUUCUUUACGUAUUUAUUUUUAAAGAGAACAAUGAAAUUCAAACAUCUCAGAAAGAUGAGAGUGUAAUUUUCUCUAUUUAAUUUAUUUAAGUAUCAGAACAUGACUUGGGUUUAAGGAUGUUAAAGGGGUAAAGUCGGGUGCGGUGCUCCUCAAUUCCAAGUUGCACUACACAGGGAGAUUUUUAUUAUUAUUUUAUGUACACAUGCAAUCAACGUAAAAUAAAUGUUUUUUUUUUUUUAUUAUUUUAUAUCAAAACUCGUGGACUUUGAAAACCUAUUUUUUUUAUAGGCAAAAAUAGAGAGGUUAAGCAUCAGGGAGAAGCUUAAACAUCCCAACUAGGUUGGCAUCCAACAGCAACUCUCAUCCUUUGUCGCCUUCCUAAUACGUAAUAAUAUUAUUAAAGUAAGGAAAUAUUUGUACAAAAGAGGGGGGACUAGGCCAAUACCCUCAAAAAAAGAAAAUGGAACGACAAAACAGAAACUAAAAAGACUAUAAAUGGCUACGAGAAUCUAUAAUUAGGAAGCCCAUUUAUGUCUUUAGUAAAAUCAAUCGUCAAUGAUACUAUCAUAGGUCGGAACCAAGUAGUAUUAGGCAUGUCAUGCCCCAAUGCAGCCAAAGUGUCUGCACAACAGUUUUCUUCCCUUCAUUGAGAUGAUGGGAGGGGACCCUAUGAACGGGUUUGUAUGCUCCAAGUGCUGCACAAAUGGUACAUUCGCAGUGGCCGAGCGUGAUUGCUCCUGUUCCACUGCAAUAAUUUUGUGAUUCACUGCCUCUUAUGGAAUAUCUUGUUGUUGUACCGUAAUGGUAUGUGCCUCUGCUUCAGCAAUUACCGGGUCCUUAUUUGUCUGAGGUGCUGCAAAAGCAAUAGAGGAACCAAUACCCGACAGGUUGUCUUUGAUAGGUGCCCAAGUUUGCUUUGGUACUGGUGCUGGUUUUUUUGCCUUGGACAAUAUUUUUUUGUGAACAAUAUUGCCCUUCUUUGGAUAUAGCCACCGACAUGAGGAUAUGUCAUGGCCUAUGGUAUGACAAUGUGUACAGUAAUCCGGAAGCCACUCAUAGGCCACCUCCACCUGAAACGCAUACCCUUCUCUCUGAACCCCGUAAUUUCAUGAAAUAUUUGUCUUGAAAAGUCCAUGUCGACAAGUAUGUGUGCGUACUGCCAGUAGAUGCGCUUGGAAGUUGCACUGUCAAUAAGGAGUGGGGUGCCCAAAGCACUAUCCAUCCAUCCAAUACUCUUGAGGUAAUUCCAAAAGUCGGAUCCACACUUGUGCAUGAGUGUUACGAUGUUUGUUCAUAUUAAAAUAUUUUUGCCAUUCAAACAAACGGAGAACACCUGGUUUCAAAUUAAUCGCCCCCAUCGCCCAUGUCAUGCGCAUAUCCUCUUCAGAUGAAAAAAAGAACUCGUAGUAACCCCUGCCUAAUGACGUGAUGGACCAUGCCCCUUUUGUUUUCCAGUGAUUAUGAAGUUUAGAAUAGAUGUCUUUUGUAGUAUAGGGUUUGUCGCCCUUAUUCAGAACCAGACGUCCACGAAGGUUGCGUUUACAGAAAUCCAUACAUAUCUCAUAUAUGUCAUGUGUAAUAUGUAUGCUAACGGUAUCGCCACAGAUCAAGGGUUGCGGUAGACUAUCAUUGCUUGCGGUAGUUAUUGUCGAGGCGGUCAGCGCUUGAGCAAAAGAAAUUUUCUGCACUGGUUUGGGAGGAGGAGGAACCGUCGCAGCUGAUGAGGUAUGAUUCACAAUGGUCCUUCCCAAUGGUGCGGCCAGCUCAGCCUGCCAAUCAAAGGCCAUGGCCAGGCUGAACUCGGCAACGGUCAGAAACGCGAUCAGAUAUCAGAGGUCUAAUCGAAAUUGCAAUUCAAUGGAUGAAGAAAGCAACACGUAACCUGAUUCGGUAAUUUAAUUCUGGAUGAAUUUCCCAACUAACCUCACGUGAAUUAAAUUGAAGAGUGGAGUUAAUUGUAACAUAGCAAUUUCAUGAAUUUCUCUUUAACUUGGUUGCUAUAACCUAUAUACAUAUAAUAAGUAGUCCCUAGAGUAUGUAAACUCUAUCAAUUUAGUUCUCAAAUAUAUACCUCAGUAACAUCACAUUUUGCUAGUUUUGUUCUCAUGUAGGAGAACAAGUUAGUCUUACCAAAUGAAAGGUUUAUUUCUCUAAAAAUACUUCUAAAUCCAUUGUAAAGUAUAUCAGCAAUAUUUUAAAUAUUGAAGUCACUAAUGAUUUUGGGAAGUAUCUUGGUAUCCCUGUUAUCAAUGGAAGAAAUGAUAAAUCCUCUUAUCCCCGUUAUCAUGGAUUAUUAGGAAUGGUCAUUCAAUCAUAAUCAGUGCCUUCCUUUGGAAGCUCGAUCAUGGGAAGCUCGAUGUAUGCUAUGCUAUAUACUGAUGUUUGCCAAAGACGCUCUCAAGCCCUAGUUAGAUAUCAUAUUUGAUUUAGUUAAAAAUAUGUGAGAUAAUUUUAUAUUAAUGGAUGAUGAAAAGUAAGCUCUUUUUUAGUCUUAGUUUAUUCCAAUGGACCGACUUUAAUAUUAGUACGUCUAAUAUUGGCUCGAUUCGUGGGCAAUGGCAAUCGGUUCUAGGUGUCAUGGUUUUGAUUGGAACCAAUUCGUUUUCUCAUAGCAUGUCGAUGAUAGAUUCAGAAUUUUAAUCUGUAUGGAAAAGUUUUUAUACCGUGAUUUUUUUUUUUUUUAUUAUCUCUUAGAGGUAAUUGAAACAUAAAAGAGAUGGAAUUUCUAAAUUGUCAUCUAAAGGCUCCACUUCGUCUAUAAAUCUUAGAAGGAAAUCAACAUACCUCAUCUUACCUUAGUAGUUCUACAAAUGGACAUCCCUAUCUCGUCUAUAUUACCAAGAGAAAAAGAGUAAUAAAAUUCAUAUGCAAUGUCCACAGUAGUGUCGCUCUAUUUCUAAGUUCAAACAUCAUCCCUAGGAAUGUUACCUUCCUGUUCAUCUAUCGUGGCCAGCUUUGCGUCGCCGUGUUUUGACGUUGUGAGGAUGGUUUUAUUCAGAUUUGUGUUUUCUUGUGUUGGUUCGUGGAUUCUUGAGUGGUGAGUCAGUGUGUGGUUCUUUGUUGGGUCGGUGGUUGUUCUCUCUGUGCCUUCCUUCUUGGUUUCGGUCAUCCUCACAGUUUAAAGCCUUUGAUUUCUGGUUCCUUUCUGAUGUUUGGAGAUCUGCUGAUUUCUUGGUUUCCGAUUCGCCGCCUUUACGACGGUGGUCUUGGGGAAGUUUUGGUGUUCCUAUUCGCUUUGGUUGUUAAUGUACCGUGCGUUGGUUUUUUACGAUGGUUCAGUAAACCUGAAAGGGUCUGUUACAAAAACCCGAAAGAAUCUGAUUCGUUUAACCCGAAAGGGUCUGGUUACGGGCGUACUGAACUCAUACCAUGAUCUGAGUUCUUACGCGUUGUUUUCUCGAAAGAGCUUUUAUUCUUGAUGUUGUUCAGGGAGUUGUUGGCACUUGGAUUUUGUUACCGUGUUAGCGGUCGAUCCAUUCGCCAUAAUUACACUCCAACUAUUCUUUGCAGAUGUUCACUUUUCAUUCUUUUUUGUAACAUGGUUUCACGCCUGUACGUGGGUUCGUUGGGUUGCGCCAGUGAUUAUUGAAUUUUUGUUAGGAUAGAUUAGAGUAUAUCCACUUAGGUUGAUUUAUCACGAUAUAUUCACAUUUGAGUUUUCUUGGGUCAUGUCCUAUGCCCCCCACAAUCUUUCUAUCUUUCCUUUUUAUUAAAAUUGAUCCAACAGAUAAAAUAGAGAGAACCAUACCCAUUUUUUAAUUGCAUAUAUUAUGGAUUGUCCCUAACAAUUGAGCUAAGCUCACGAAGACGAACCAUGUCCACUUAGAGUUUAGUUACUCAUGGUAGCUAAAGACCAAAUUACAAAAGAACAGAACACACCUUAAAGACUAAGGAUGAGGAGGGAAACUCCUUCAUUGAAGCUCACAAUGUUUGCCUUAAAGUGAGUUUUGCGUGAAAAACUGUGCUUUUUCUUCAAGCCUGUAGAAGAAAAACAACAAAAAUUGUUUUUCACCUGAAGGUGUACGCCCCUCGUGUGUGAGAGGGCACGCCUUGUGGGGUGGCACUUCAGACUUUGUAUUUGGUGACUUUGUUGAUUUUAGUGUAUUUUAGAUGAAAGAGAAUGAUGAUUGAAUGAUUAUAAUAAAUUAUUUUGAUGAGAGAGAAUUAUUGGUUAUGAGAGAUAUAGAAACAAAGACAUCCAAAGACACCAAAGUACUACCCCGCCUUGUGCUCUAGUGCAAUUUUUGUACGACAUGGGCGCGCAACAGCUUACCCGAGGCGCACCAGUACAUUUUUUUCUUUUUGGUGGGGUGCGACGGCCUAUGCAGUAGUGCAACACAUAAGCUACACUUGAAAAGCUCAAUAGCAAGCUAUCGAAAUGGCCUCUCCCCCUUAAAAAAAGUAAUUUAAUAUCGUGUGACCCAUUGAACCACAUAUCAUAUAUUAAACUGAUAAGAACAGAUAGUACACUUGAUCUUAGUCAAAAGGCCGAGAAAGGUAAAGGCGCACCAGCACAUUGAAUCAAUAAUUAGCUAUAAAAAAUGGAUGAUAAAGCUUUGAAUAAAAAAUAAAUUAGAUUGAAUCAAAAUAUCAUUGAUGCAAGUAAAAGCUUCCAUUUGCAACACAUUCGGAAAGAACCAACAAAUUUGUAUGCGUUGUAUCGUAGAUCUACGUUGGAUUACCGCCGGCACCAGCACAUGCAUUGGGGACAGUACGUAGUAAUUUUUUUGAGUCUCGGACGUCGAUAUAGUUAGUACUCUCCAGAUUUAAAUAUAAGAAGAAAAAAAAAGUCAUAUUCACCUUUUAAGAUUCACAAGUGAACGUCCUCGUGAGCGCUUAGCUCAGCUGAUAUGGACAAUGUAUAAAAAUAUGUAACAUCUGUGUUCGAACCCCAACCACCAUCAAAAAAAGAUAUAUAAGUGAACUUUUCAACAACAAAAAAAAGAGUGAACUUUUCAAAUAUAUAAGUGAAAUUUAAUUAACUUCACUAUAUUUAACGUUAUUCUUGAGAAAAAUGUUUAAUUUUUAGAGAAGAAUUAUUGGUCAGAUUUUACUUACUUCUAAACCCAACUGUGGAUUAUCAUAAUUAUUUUCCCGUGAAAAUUGGAGGUUUACAAAAAUAAAAAUCUCAAAAAAGCUAGUCUAGAAAUACAAUUAUAUUCUUGAUCACAUCAACAAAAUUAAAUGAGAUUAAUUAUAUUUACUUUUUAUCAAAUAGUCUACUAACAAGAAUUUUACACUUAAUGUGUGGAGAAUGGUCUCUACAACCAUCAUCUAAAUUAUACUUACGAAACAAAUUAACAUUCAUAAUUGCUGUAUAAUUAAUAGUAACUUUUUCAACAUUAUUCACCUAGAAUUUAAUUCACCCCUCUCUUUUUUGUCUCUUUUUCAAUAGUGAAUUUUAUCCCAUCAUCUUUUAUAGUAUCACCUUUUUUUUUCUUUUACAUUUACCUAUUUUAGUCAACAUAUCCAUUUGUGACAAACAUGCACCUGUCAUUUCGGUGGAACAUAUAAGUAAAUUUCCAUGUUCUUUCAUAAUUGAUGUACUAUAUUGUCAUAUAUUAUAUAUAACUUGCUAGGUUUGCUUUCCUUAUUUUUUGACCCCUAUAAAAAAUAAAAAUUUAGUUUAUCCAUUUUGAUGAAUAUUUAACUACAGCUAGGGAGCUAACAACCCUUAAAUUAUGGCUUUGCACAUUGUACACUAGCCAUGAUUUCCCAUUUUAUUUUUAAUAAUUUAAAGACCAAAACAAAGUCAAUUAUAAUGUUUUACUUUUAUAAAAGUGCACACAUAUAUGGUCUUGAUAUUAUAAUGCUCUUUAUAUAAAGCAUUCAGUACAAUGUCUCUUUUGCAAAACAGGUAGAUGAUUGAUAAAAGGACUACAUGAUUUCAUGUUUAUUAAUUUAAAUUAUUUUUUAAUUUUAUUUAUCUUUCCCCAUUAUAUAAAUUAUAAAGUCAUCGUCACAAUAGUUGUUAAAUCCAGAGGUGUAUGUAAUUAUUAAUUAAACAAAUGCUAUGAAAACUAUCCUUAUAUAAAACAAGUUGCUAUAUGAUAUAAAUUGUUCUAUAUAUUUUAUUUAAAUUCAAAGAUAUAGAACCAAAAACAGAAUGUUCUAAUAUAGCUAGAGUAGUCUAGAAUUAACAUCAUAUACAAUACAUGUAUGAGCUAGGUAAAAAAUGGGAAAUAAAUAUCAUAUUCAUAGUUGGAAAAGACACCCUAAGAUAGCUUCAAUCUGAAAAAAUUGAACAACUUACACUACACCUAAACUCAAUAAUUUUAGGUCCAAAGAGGUUGGUGGUGUGGUCAUCCAUUCAAAUAACUUUAACAUAAUUAGUUGUCCAAAAAUGGAAAAAAAUAACUUUAAUUCUUUUAUCUUAUAUUUUUACUAUAUGCUUUAAUUGUAUAUUUCUUACAUUAUAAGAAUCCAAAGGCACUCUCUUUUUUCCAUCUUAUUUCUCACAUCCUCUCUAAUCUUUUCACCUCAUCAAUAUGAUUACAAACAAAUUCAAAUUAAACGACUCCAAUUUACAUUUGUAUUUUCUACUAAAUUUAUCAAAAUGGGGACUAUUAUUUAACCUCAAGGAAUAUGAAUAUAUUACCACAUUUCAUAUAAUGGAACUAAUAAUGCACGAGUAGAUCUCAAAAUUAUCAUCUCAUUUCAUGUUUAAAAUGGUCUAAUCAAAUGUGAUAAGUUAUUUUUCUUUAAUUCAAAAACCAUCACGAAUUUGAUGUAAUAUUUAUACAUAAUAAUUCAGAUGCGUUAUAUAACACGGCAUUGACAAAUCUUCAAGAAAGUGUUAGAGAGGUGCACGAUGGCAUAUUGAUCAAUUUAAAUAUUAUUAAUUAGUAGGAAUAUCCACAUUUGGGACACAAAUAUUAUAUUAAUGCACACAUUAUAAUAUGGUAAUUUUGUUAAAUGGCAUAUGCACCGCAAUUCAAGUCACUGCCACUGCCAGCUUUGCCCUAAGAUAGAGCUGUAAAUAAAGAAAUAAAGCUAUUGCAUAAAAUCAAAAGGUUACAAUAUUUCUCUUCAAAUAACUAGCACAUCAACUAUGACGAUAGUGCCAGCCUUUUUUGUUCCAAGAGAAAAAUAUAUUAAGAGUGUCCUUUCCACUUUUCUUUUGUAUCUCCUUAACAUGCGGUUUAACAACAAAAAUCGGCAAUAUUAGGAGAAAUGAUAGUAUUAAACAAAGACUUUUUCAAAAUAGAGUUAUUAAAGUGGUUCAUAAUUAAACUUCGGUUAAAAAUAAUAGUCUAAAAGAAUCUGUCUUAAGAGCCUUAUAGUAAGUGAUAUAUGAUCUAACAAUGUGUUCAUAAGUAAAUACCGUUGUUGAGCGAUGAUUACAAAGAAAGUAGAUGUCUUAUGUGAAAAAUAAUACCUAAUUCAAUUCAUCGCGAAUGUUGGAUGCGUAAGCAAUUAAAAAAAAAAAAAGUAAAUACCGUUGUCAAAUUAGAAAUCAAUUUUGUAAGGUUAAGUUAGGUACAACCCAAAAUUUUAAUAAGGCAUCGGAGUCUAUCCUAUAUCAGUUUGGCCACCACCUAUAAGGUCAUCACUAUUGGAUCACACUCCAAACACGUGAGGAGGUGUUAAGAUUCUCGUUUCUUUAUAUCAAUAAAACGUAAAUAAAGUUUAUAAGUAUGGACGAUCGUCACUUGCAAAUAAGUUUUGUAAGAUUGAGAUAGGAUCAACUCCAAUUCUAAAAUCCCGAGUUUAAAUUCUAGUAUUUGGUCAAACAUUACUUACCACUCCACUGAACUGUAAAUCAUCAUAUCUUCUCUCUUAAAAAUCCAAGAGUUAAGACAAACCGUAGAUUAAUUCGUGUAUAUGUAAGUGUUCAAUUUUUGAAAAAAAAAAUGUUGAAAAGAAACAAACAAACGGUUGAGUAAAAAUAAAACAGAUAAAAGGGUACUGAUAAUUUUAAUCUGGAAUAUAUGACUAUUCAAACAUAGCAAAACCAGAUUUUAGAACAUUAUCGACCAACCUACUCAUAUCUCUCUCUUGAACUGUAAGUAAGAUUAUUUUAAUUGCCAAAUGCUAAGUUGUCAAGUUAUUAUUAUUAAUAUUAUCCAACAUCACAAAACCCAAUCUCAUAACGGUAGUUUGCACGUUUCAUUCAUCAAUUGAUUCCAUAGUUUUGUGUUACAAGACGACAUUGAUCAGUUGCUAAACCCUAUGCAACGAGCAAAAUUAACUACUAUUAACUACUCCUAUUUUAAUUUUAAUCCUAUGAAAUUCACCAAAGGGACAUAUCUAUAGGCAAAUCAAAUAAAGGUCAAUUUAAGUCAGAAUUGUACUUUGAUUCAAAAAAAUAAAUAACGUAGUCAGAAUAGUACUACUACUAGUAGUAGGUUUAUUUUGCAAAAUAGGACCACAUGCAUGCAACUGGGUUUCAGACCCUACUAAUAACAAAACAUCAAACACAUUAAUUAUGUUGAAUUUAGCAAGAGAAAAAGAAUCUUACAUAAUUUUGUGUGCAAAUAAAAUUACAACAAUUAAUCAUUAUAAUUUUGAUUUUUGAAUGUUUGAUUCUCUGUGUGUAUCUCAUUUUUUAAAUCGAGCACAAAUAUUUAAAGUAUUUUUUUUUUAGAAAAAUUUGUUCAUUUGAUACUGAAGUAACUGCUUCUUGAUACUAUAUAAGACAAAACCGAUAUUUAGUGUACAAAAUAUAUGCAUUGGACAAAUAUAGCCGUUUGGGAAGUGUUUAAAAAAAAAUUCUAUGGCCAAAUAAAGAAACGUGAUUGUUUUGGUUUGAAGGUGGAGAGAGUUCAAAGUGAUUUUGCUAUGUUUGAAUUAAUGUUUUUGUUGAUUGUAAUUGAUUUUGACUUACAUUUACUUCUAGCUCUUUUUUGACUACUACAUCUAACUUAAAAGUUAUAAUUUAAAGUUUUCGAUUCCAAACAUAAUUUUUAGUCUCAUAAAUUUCUCAACUCAUUAAUUUAUACUUGAAAAUAUUUAAACAUAAGUUUAAAAGGGAUACACUAUCGGUGUUAAUCAACUCUGCAACCAAUGAGAAUCCACAAUUUGUUUUACAAAAAUAAACGAUAUUAAUUCAUUCAUGUUGAUAGAAUACGUCGAUACAACACAUAUUCAAAGUUGUUAAAAACAAAAAGAAUGAACUUGCGAACAAACUCACAGCAUCCAUGUUAAUAACAUAAAACGGCAAUGUAACUACGCCAACAAAUAUGACUAUAUAUAUUUAAGUCUCUGGAAUAUUCAUGUAUCUGGAUCUACAACUUUGAUGGCGCCAAAGUCAUUGAUUGGAUCUGCACCUGCUCAAUGACGGAAAAUAAAAACACAUUACAUAAAGACGAGAAAUAAAAAAACAAACAUGGUCGUGUUAAGACGACGAAAUCACCAUAACAAACAAAAACAUAAAAUAAAAAUAUGUAAAAAUCACUUAUUUAAUUAAAAAAUAAGAAAAUCAAUUCGAAUGAAUGAUUUUAAAUCAAAAUUAACCAUAAAUCAUUCUUCUUUAAUAGAUAAGAAGAAGAAAGGUGGUGAUGGCUAUAAAAAGAAGAGAAGGGAGAACAAAAUAUAUGUUUCCUGCUUUUUAGAGAUUCCACAAUUUUUACAUGUCAUCCUACUCUAGUAUGUUAAUCUUAUCUUACAAUAAAUGCAAUAAAGUGCAAAAUAAAAGACACUCAUUAGAUGUCGCUAGUGUUAAUUUUUUAAUCUAAGAACUUGAUUUUAUAUUUCUCCAAUGAGCAAAAUAUAAGCACAGUUCGUAAAAAGACUCUUUGGAAAAACACUUUUCCUGGUGUUAAUAUAUAUAUUUUGCAUAUUUCAAGAUAUGCAAAUUUGAUCUUCGUAAAAUAUAAGCACAUUCCAACAAAAUUUCAAGAUAAGAAAAACUCGAAUAAUUAUUUUUAAAACUAAUCUUAAAAUCUGCAUAUUUCUUUCAAAAACAUUUCUUAGAUAUAGUUUUAUAUAUACUUUUCUCCAUCAAAAGCUGCAAUGUUAAUCUCAUUAUUGCACUUUUUCCGGGCAUUGUUGACAACAUUAUAUCUCACAUGUUAAUCUCAUUAUUGAGAAGUCACAUGGCUUGAAAAUUCUUAAAGAAAAUUAAAGGAAAAAUGGAAUAAAAGAUGAACCAAAAUGGUGAUGAACUUCCACUAUUGGCAUAGUAAUAACUCCUCAUUCUGUCUUCUUCCCCCCACAUAUUGCCCACACCAGUUCAUACAUUAUAUACAUUUACAUAAUUAAGUUGUAUAAUUAAGGGUAUCAUGUUUUUAAUAUUGAUUUUGGUUAGAUAUUUGUACCAUAUUCUAUAAUUCAUGCUCAUAACCCCACAAAUACGUGGACAUGUAGUAGGAAAUACAAAGCUAAAUUUGGAUUAUUCUUUAUCACAAACUACCAAAAGGUUAUGUUCAAAAACAUCAUAAAAGAAAUGAUUAAAAAUCAAAUAUAUAUCUUCAUUCUUAAACCUCAAAAAGAAAAAGAAUCAAUUAGUGGAACAAAAUCUCACAAUGUUACAAUAGCUACAAUCAAAGGAUUUGAAGAAAUAUCAUAAACCACUUUGGAUCCAUAAUGCAUAAUACUCAAAAUACAAUAUAUAUUCACUUUCCAUUCCCUCUAAAAACAACUUGAAAUUAAAAUGAAAAUAAAUGCAAAAAGCAUUUUGGAGUUACUUUUGUCAAAUGAGGCAACUCAGCUAGGGCUGCUAAGAGGAAAUGACAUAGGAAUAGGACACAACAUUUUACCCUACCCAUCUCUUCUAAUCAUUCAAAAUUUGUCAAGAUGCUUCUAACCAUUUUGCGUAUAUUUUAAUUAGUGGUUGAAGAUUGAAACAGUGACUGAUUCUAACUAUUUGGAGUAAAACAAAGUAAUGGGAGAGAAGUGGCCAGCUGGGAAACAUAAUAUAAUGCAAUUACAUCAAAAUGAAACCAAUUGAAUAUUUGAAUUGGUCCUUCAUGAUGGCUACCCUUUAACAAUUCAAUCACAUUAUAAAUACUUAGUCUCUCAUUUAGCUUUUCACAAUAAUCACUUACACCAAAACAUCUUCUUUUCUUCCAAACUUUUCUUCUACUUCUAAGAAUAUUAGGGAGGUUAAGUAAUAACAUAAGCAUUGGAGGUGCCAAGUUUUUUCUUUCUACCCAUGACUGUUAAGGCCAGUAGCCCCAAAAGGGGUCAUAACUGGCCACCAAUGGCAAUGGCAUUGGCCAUUGUUUUGAUUUCAACUAGUGUGGUUUCUGCUGCUGCAGAUAGUUAUAUUUACUCUUCUCCUCCACCACCUUACGAGUAUAAGUCGCCACCGCCACCAUCACCUUCACCACCACCUCCUUAUGUUUACAAAUCGCCACCUCCUCCAUCCCCAUCACCUCCACCACCUUAUGAGCACAAGGCUCCUGCUUAUGAGUACAAGUCACCACCACCACCAACUCCUUCACCACCACCUCCUUAUGUGUACAAGUCACCACCACCGCCAUCUCCUUCACCACCACCUCCUUAUGUGUACAAGUCACCACCACCACCCUCACCUUCCCCACCACCACCAUACUACUACAAGAGUCCUCCACCACCUUCUCCUUCACCUCCACCUCCUUACUACUACAAAUCUCCUCCACCACCCUCACCUUCCCCACCACCACCAUACUAUUACAAGUCUCCUCCACCACCAUCUCCCUCACCUCCACCACCAUAUUACUACAAGUCUCCCCCACCACCCUCACCCUCCCCUCCACCCCCAUAUAUACACAAGGAUCCACCAUACUAUUACAAGUCCCCACCACCACCUUCACCAUCUCCUCCACCACCAUACUACUACAAAUCUCCCCCACCCCCUUCACCGUCUCCUCCACCACCAUACUACUACAAAUCUCCUCCUCCUCCAUCUCCUAUUCCCAAAACACCUUACUACUACAAAUCUCCCCCACCCCCUUCACCAUCUCCUCCACCACCAUACUACUACAAAUCUCCCCCACCCCCUUCACCGUCUCCUCCACCACCAUACUACUAUAAAUCUCCCCCACCACCGUCACCCUCUCCACCACCACCUUACUAUUACAAGUCUCCUCCCCCACCUUCACCAUCUCCUCCACCACCAUACUACUACAAAUCUCCUCCUCCUCCAUCUCCUAUUCCCCAUACACCUUACUAUUACAAAUCUCCCCCACCACCUUCACCAUCUCCUCCACCACCAUACUACUACAAAUCUCCUCCUCCUCCAUCUCCUAUUCCCCGUACACCUUACUAUUACAAAUCUCCCCCACCACCUUCACCAUCUCCUCCACCACCAUACUACUACAAAUCCCCUCCUCAUCCAUCUCCCAUUCCCCAUACACCUUACUAUUACACAUCUCCCCCACCACCUUCACCGUCUCCUCCACCACCAUAUUACUACAAAUCUCCUCCCCCUCCGUCUCCUAUUCCCCACACACCUUACUACUACAAGUCCCCACCACCACCAAAGGUCCUUCCACCACCAUACUAUUACAAUUCUCCUCCUCCACCUGUUGUGUAUCCUCACCCAUAUCCCUACCACCACUCACUUAUUGUGAGGGUAGUCGGUAAAGUCUACAGCUUCAGAUGUUAUGAUUGGAAUUAUCCUGCAAAGUCUCAUAACAAGAAACAUCUCAAAGGUACAUUACAUUUCUUAGGACCGGACCUCUUUAGAGUAAUGUGUUUAGAGAUAAUGCACAAUUUUUUAUUUUUUUAUCUCGUAAAGGUUUAUUUAUUAUAAUCACAAUUUCACUUUUGUCAAAAAGAAAAACAAUUUUACUAUAUAUAGUUUUAAUCAUUAACAUUUUGAUGUAAAAAGAAUACAAUUCUCUAUUACCUUUUUACUAUGAUAUAUAUACAAAGAUUAUUCAAAUCUAUAUAUCCAACCUAAUUUCCAUCCAAAAAAAUAGAAAACAUAGGGUGCUUUGAACGCCUGCAGCAUCACAUGAAUAAAUAAAAACAAUCAAUAAUCAACCUUGUUCUAAUUUAUUUUAGACAGCGAUUGUUAAGCAUACUGCUCUUUUAAUUACAUUUUUUUUAAAGAUGCUCUUUUAAUUAUAUUGUCCUAAUAUAAUAUGUGUCUUUAUAUAUUACUUGUCGUAAACUAAUUUUAUUAUGGGUGCAGGAGCUGUUGUUGAGGUGACAUGCAAAGCCGGGAGCAAAAUUGUCAAGGCUUAUGGAAAAACUAAGAACAAUGGAAAGUAUGCCAUCACAGUUAAGGACUUUGACUAUGUCAAAUAUGGUUCGACAGUGUGCAAGGCUGCCCUAUAUGCUCCACCUAAGGGUUCACCCUUCAACAUACCUACAAAGCUAAAUCAAGGAACAAAGUUGUACUUGAAAUCCAAAGACAAGUACGAGGUUGUGCUCAAGGCUAAGCCAUUUGCUUAUGCUUCAAAGAAACAUUUCAAAGAAUGUGAGAAGCCUAAGCCUUCACCAACUCCUUACUACUACAAAUCACCUCCACCUCCCUCACCAGUUUACAAAUACAACUCACCACCUCCACCGGUCCAUUAUUAUUCACCUCCAUACACCUACAAGUCACCUCCUCCCCCUGUGAAAGCGGCACCAACUCCUUACUACUACAAAUCACCUCCACCACCCGCACCGGUUUACAAGUACAACUCACCCCCUCCACCGGUCCAUUAUUAUUCACCACCAUAUACCUAUAAGUCACCUCCUCCCCCUGUGAAAGCGGCACCAACUCCUUACUACUACAAAUCACCUCCACCUCCCGCACCGGUUUACAAGUACAACUCCCCACCUCCACCGGUCCAUUAUUAUUCACCUCCAUAUACCUACAAGUCACCUCCUCCCCCUGUGAAAGUGGCACCAACUCCUUACUACUACAAAUCACCUCCACCACCCGCACCGGUUUACAAGUACAACUCACCACCUCCACCGGUCCAUUAUUAUUCUCCACCAUACUACUACAAGUCACCACCCCCACCAUCUCCAUCACCUCCUCCACCAUACUAUUUCAAAUACUAUUACAAGUCCCCACCUCCACCAUCACCAUCCCCUCCUCCACCUUAUUAUUACAAAUCUCCUCCUCCACCAAAACAAAUUUCACACCCUCCAUACUACUAUAAGUCACCACCCCCACCAUCACCAUCACCUCCUCCACCAUACUAUUAUAAGUCUCCACCUCCACCAUCACCAUCUCCCCCACCACCUUAUUAUUAUAAGUCACCACCCCCACCAUCCCCGUCCCCUCCUCCACCAUACUACUACAAGUCUCCACCUCCACCUAAAGAAAUAUCACAUCCUCCAUAUAACUAUAAGUCACCACCCCCACCAUCACCAUCCCCUCCCCCUCCAUACUAUUACAAAUCUCCUCCACCACCAUCACCAUCACCACCACCUCCCUACUAUUACAAAUCACCUCCACCACCAUCACCAUCACCUCCCCCUCCAUACUAUUACAAAUCUCCUCCACCACCAUCACCAUCACCACCACCUCCUUACUAUUACAAAUCACCUCCACCACCAUCCCCAUCACCACCACCUCCAUACUACUACAAAAGUCCCCCUCCACCAUCUCCAUCUCCUCCAUCCCCAUAUUACUACAAAUCUCCACCACCACCAUCACCAUCCCCACCCCCUCCCUACUAUUACAAAUCACCUCCACCUCCCUCACCAUCACCGCCACCUCCUUACUAUUACAAAUCACCUCCACCUCCCUCACCAUCACCGCCACCUCCUUACUAUUACAAAUCUCCCCCACCUCCAUCUCCAUCUCCACCACCUCCUUACCACUAUCAAAGUCCUCCUCCACCAUCUCCCAUUUCUCAUCCUCCCUACUACUACAAAUCCCCUCCACCACCAUCGCCGUCUCCUCCACCUCCUUACCACUAUGUGAGUCCUCCCCCACCAGUAAAGUCACCUCCACCACCAACUUAUAUCUAUGCUUCACCACCACCACCUCACUACAACUAAGCUCAAAGAGCAGAAGCUCCGUUCAUUAUAAAUCAUGUAAGUUUAUCAUCUUCAAUUUUCUGAAUGUGUGCGUGUGUAUUUGUUUUUUUGUUACAAGAUACUAACAAAAUUCUUUUCUUAUUUAUGUUCAGGUUUUAGUUUUCAUCUAGGAAUAAAGGCAAGCUCCAUUUGGAGUAAAGUGAAACUUCUAGCUUCGUGUCCGAAUUCGUUAAAUAAAUGUCGGGAUGUAUCGUCUUUGAGCUAUAAUAUUUCUGAUCCAGACAAUAUCUAUUUUGUUUCUUUGGUGGCAAUCUUGCACUUCCUGGUCUUAGUCUAUUCAAGUGACAGACAAAUCAAAAGGGAGAAGCGAGAUUAAUUUAUUUGUGAUCUCUUUGAUUUAUUUGUGCAUAUAUCAAUAUGAACGUGUAUGAUAUUUUUCUAUUUAUUGAAGAUUUUUUUACUGUAACCUGUUAUUGUGUUUGUCAAAAGGUGUUAAUAAAGAAUCACAUUCAAUUUCUGUUAAAUUAUCAGUAUUUGUUUCUUUCUAACAACUACCAUUCAUGCAAAUGUGGCUAUUAAAAAAAGCUCCAAUGACACAUAAAAAGCUUCCAAACAAUAUAUAAACAAAGAUGCAUUGUUUUCUGUUAAGAAGGGGACAGGGUUACGGUUACUUGUGUACCAAGUUAGUUAUCCAUGCUUUCUUGUUCAUAGGAUUUAUAUGGUGUAGUUGCACUUAGUUGCUAAAUGUAUGCAAGCUUUUCCUUUCUAUAAAUAAGCACACCUACUAUCAUUCUUCUCCACAUUCCUUUCUACUCUUCUAUCAUGAAUUGUUCAUCCACAUAAGAUGGUCACAGAGCACACCUAAUACUCUGCUACUGGUGUAUCAGUUCCUUUCCACCAGAAACUUAUGAUCUCUAAUUGAAAGAGAUCCUAAAGUUUUAAGAUUUCUACAAAAUACAUUAUUCUCAUUUUUGUACAAGUAUGAUACAAUUAUUCCCAAGUAUUAUUUAUUCUAAGGAAUAGAAUUUAGUUGUGGUUUCUCUAUUUAACCAACAUUUAUUUUUAAAUAACUAAAUUUAAAAAAAAAAUCCUGAAAUUAUUAAGUACAUACCUAACACAUUGUAAAAUUUUGUUCCCAAAGAAAAUAUUUUUGGCAAUAGAAUUUUCAGGAACUUCAUUCCUAGGAAUAUAAUUCUAUACUAAGAGAAGAGCUUAAGCAUUGAUACAUAACAAGACCAAUCCAUAUCCUAAUCACAAUCCUACUUUCACUAAAUACUUUCACUUAAGUGUGGUCUUGGAAAGGACAAAUGAAGAAAGACAUUCCAGAGGUAUGGUAAGGGACAAUAUCUGCAGUUAUGCACAUAUUGCAAGAUUGUGAGGAACUACCGGACUGAUUUGAUUCACCAAAAAAUUUGGAAUAAAUAUUUCAGCCCAGAACUCAGACAAUGACUGGAUUGGAACCUUUCAGCUUCUAAUAUCGGUACUGUCCAAGGAAAUAGUCAUUCUCUUUUUGGAGUAGCUGUGAAGGAUUUAUGGAAAGAUAGAACUAAGCUGGUCUUUUCUAGAAACACCGCGAUUGGAACUACUCUAUUUUGGCUUGUAGCCAAUCCGGCUAAGUUUAUUAACAAUGUAGUUUGUACUCAAGCUCACAGUCACGAUGUUGUCAGCAACAGUGGGCAUAUUGUUUAGGUAGCCUGGAAUUUUCCUCCCCAACACUUCUUCAAAGUGAAUAUGAUGGAUCUCUACGGGAUUAUGUUAGUUUCCAGGAUCGAACUCAGAACCUCCUGAUUAUAACUCCUUCAAUGUAUGUCCCUUACCCACGUGGGGCCUCGGCUGUAAUUGUUAACAUGGUAAAAUUUGGCUCUUCCAAUAAUGGUUUUAUCCAAACUCGAGGUUGUUUAUCGUCUCCAACAAUCAGAUUGGAGAAUACUAGUGGUUCAUGCAUUUGAACAAACCAACUGUUGUGCAGAUUUUCUAGUUGAUUUUGUUUUUCCUUUUUUGAGUAUUUUAUUAGCCAAUGAUAUAAGAGGUUGUAGCCUACCUCUUUUGAUUUCUUAAGACAAUCACUUUUGCAUUAGAAAAAAACGACCCUACAUAAAAUUAAUGAUUGAAUUAAGAUAUAACUUCAGUUUGAAAUAUUGUAAAAUUCUAUACCACCAAAAACUGAGAAUUUUAGAACCAUACAGGUUGGUGGAGUGGUCAUCCAGAUAACUUUAACAUAAUUAACAGUCCAAAAAGUAAAUAGCUUUAUCCUUUAUUUUCAAUCUGAUGUGAUUUACUCUUAUCUGUUAAACAUUAUAAUUAAGAAUCCAAAGGGAACACUCACCUAAUCUCUCUCUUUUUUCUAGCUUUUUCACUAAACCACUGUGUCUGUGGUUACCACAUUUCCUUAUGGAAUCAAUAUCCAAUUUAUGUUAAAAACCAUUUCUACAUUUUGUGUUAAAAAUGAUCUAAACAAAGAUGAUUUAUUUCUCUUAAAUUCAACAUAGAUCAUAUUUACAUGGUUCAAACUUUCUAUUACACGGCAUUGACUUAGUUGCUUCACAUGGGGACACAACUAAUGCAUAUAUUAUUUUAUAUGCUUAUAGUAAUUUUAACAAGUGGCAAUGGGGCAUAUGUUUUGUCAAAAAAACACAAAAAACAGGAGGCAUGUGCAACUGAAGUCACUGCCAGCUUGGCACUAAGAUAUAGUAAAAUAAUUGACAUUUGAAGAAAACAAAGACGUUGCUACAUUUCUAUUCAAACAAGCGACAUCAAUAUCAGACAAUGGUGCUACAUUUAAUAAUACUACAGCUAUCCCCAUAAGCACCUCUUAGAAAGAAAAAAAAAUAUCCAUUAAAUUAAUGUUGGAAGAGUUAGCAACAUGUCCUCUCCCAAAAAAACUCAUGUUUGAUUCCUAGAGUCGUCCAUUUCGAAAGAAGCUCAACCCUGAUAAUAAAAACCUAGAUGUUAUGCUGCAGACUUAAAGAUCAAUUUCAUAAUGGAUCCAAAGGGCCUAAGCUGUGUGGGAUACUUAAGGGGGUAUAUUGAGGCUAAGGGUCAAAGAUCUUAAUUAUGGUCGGUUAAAAAAAGAAGAAAAAAAAAUUAUCUCUAAAUAUAAAGUCAACAAUAUUUCAAAUUGCAAGAUACAUUUAUUUAUUUUUUAAAUAUGUAUAUACCUCUUAUUAAUACUUACUAAUUUGUUUUGAGUGAUAAAAAGUUACGAGUUAGACAGAUCAGCACAUAAAAAAAGUAUUUGAAAAACAUCUACCAACAAAAUAAACACAUUAAAAACAAUACUACUUUUUUACAAUACUGUAUGUGAAAAUGACAAAAUCUUGAAAAAGAUGGAGGUAACAUGUACUCUUUUUUUUUUAGAGGGGAGCAUGUACUUUUCCACUAACAAUGUUGAUAAGAAACAUAUAAAAUACUAUUAGAGAAAGAAAAAAAAUAAUAAAUAAAGAAAUAUAUAAAAUACUGAGGAAUGACUCACUCAUGUCAAAUUUUAGCAAGGGAGAAGUGAUAUCACAUCAUUUUAGAAGAGGAAUGAGAAUAGAUAGAUCUAAUUUUUCUAGUAAGUUUGAAUAGUAGAAUCAUACUUCUUUGUCUUUUGUGAAAAUUUCAUAUUAUGGGAUCUAUUACUAGAAUACAGGUGAUUUUAUUCUGGAAGAUUGACUUUUUAUUAAAAUAAAAUAAAAGUACAUUUUUUAUUUCCAAAUGCUUAGUUGUUCAUUUAUAAAUAUUACAUUAUCCAACAGCACCAAACCCUAUUUCAUAACGGUACUCUGCACGUUUCAUUCAUUUACUGGUGCCUUAGUUUUUUGUUACAAACAGACAUUGAUCAGAGGAACAAAUGUAGAGACAAAUUGAAGAUAAUAUAUCACAUAAUAUUGUAGACACACCUUCACAUACAAAUGGGGUAAAGUCCCUCAUAGUAGUAUUAGAAAUAACACUUAGAGUAAAAUUUUGCUAAAUUUAACAUGAAAAUAAGUGUAAUGUAUUUUAUAGGCAGCUAUACAUAAUUAUUAAUUAGAACAAUUUUUUACACUGUCAAACAAAAAUUGAACAAUUUUUUACUAGCUUUAUGCUUUAUGAUGUUUUGAUUCCAUGUGCACAUUUCAAUUUUAGAACUAUUCCUUUCUAUGUUACUGAAAUAAUUCUAUCAUUAGGCAUUGACAUUUCCAUUAUGCGUGCACGUUAAAGUGUUUUCCCAAACAGAGAAAUAUUAAGAAAGGUUAAACUUUUGACUUAAAGACACAACUAAAAUAAGAUCCAAGGAAAACCCCAUUGAUUAUUUCUUGCACAAAAUUAAAAACCCCAUUGAUUAUUUCUUGCACAAAAUUAAAAUGCUAAUAAUUUUUCCUGGUCUAUAUUUUUCUCCUUCCGGGAAAUGGCAACAUCACAUGUUCAUCUCAUAAUUGAGAAAACACAUGUCUGGGAAAAUAUCUUAAAGAAAAGGCAGUAAAGUAAUAAAAAGUGCACCAAAUAGAGAUUAACUAGUACUCUUUGCAUGUCAACUAAGUGGUAUAAUUAUGUAUAUCACAUUCUUAAUAUUGAUUAUCUUGAUUGCACGAUAAGCCCCUCAAAUUGCUCAAUCGAUGAUUGCUUGAUAAGCCCAUCAAAUUGCCCAAUCGAUCGAAUCGUAACUUUCGAUAGACAUUUUUUUUAAGAAAACCCAAUUGGAUCAUAACUCCCCAUAGUCAUUUAUUUGAAAUUGUGAGCAAUUUGAUAACUUAUUGAGCAAUCACCAUUGAUUUUAGUCUCAAUUUAUCCUAAUGUUGUAACCCUGGAAUAAUGGAACAGUGAGUAAAUUUGGUUUCUCCGUCUCAAAAUAAGUGUCACAAUUUAACCAUGUGCACUACUCAUCAAAUCUACUUUGACAACAUUUUUUUUACUAAUAUAUAAAGACAAUGUUAGUACAUUACAUGUUCGAUUUGUCUUAGUUAAUGUUUUUAAAAUAUCGACUUUAUUAUAAUUUUUCUUAAUAGACAAUCAAAAAUAUCAAUUGUCAAAAUUGUGUAUUGAUAUGUAUGAAAAUCAAACUAUAACACUUACUUUGAGACGAAGAGAAUAACUAUUAAAAACUAAUGUUCAAAUAGAAAGAAAAGAAAACAAAGAUUCCAUACAAAGCUUGCAAAAUAGCUACAAUCAUAACCUAGAACAAAAAUCAUGACCACACACUAUAUCCAUUUUCCUUUUCCUAAAAAGCAAUUGAAGAUAAAAAAAAAAAAAAUAAUAAAUAAAAAAAAAAAAAAAAAAAAAAAAAANACCACCAUACUACUACAAAUCCCCACCUCCACCAUCGCCUUCUCCUCCACCACCAUACUACUACAAAUCCCCACCUCCACCAUCGCCUUCUCCUCCACCACCAUACUACUACAAAUCCCCACCUCCACCAUCGCCUUCUCCUCCACCACCAUACUACUACAAAUCCCCACCUCCACCAUCGCCUUCUCCUCCACCACCAUACUACUACAAAUCCCCACCUCCACCAUCGCCUUCUCCUCCACCACCAUACUACUACAAAUCCCCACCUCCACCAUCGCCUUCUCCUCCACCACCAUACUACUACAAAUCCCCACCUCCACCAUCGCCUUCUCCUCCACCACCAUACUACUACAAAUCCCCACCUCCACCAUCGCCUUCUCCUCCACCACCAUACUACUACAAAUCCCCACCUCCACCAUCGCCUUCUCCUCCACCACCAUACUACUACAAAUCCCCACCUCCACCAUCGCCUUCUCCUCCACCACCAUACUACUACAAAUCCCCACCUCCACCAUCGCCUUCUCCUCCACCACCAUACUACUACAAAUCCCCACCUCCACCAUCGCCUUCUCCUCCACCACCAUACUACUACAAAUCCCCACCUCCACCAUCGCCUUCUCCUCCACCACCAUACUACUACAAAUCCCCACCUCCACCAUCGCCUUCUCCUCCACCACCAUACUACUACAAAUCCCCACCUCCACCAUCGCCUUCUCCUCCACCACCAUACUACUACAAAUCCCCACCUCCACCAUCGCCUUCUCCUCCACCACCAUACUACUACAAAUCCCCACCUCCACCAUCGCCUUCUCCUCCACCACCAUACUACUACAAAUCCCCACCUCCACCAUCGCCUUCUCCUCCACCACCAUACUACUACAAAUCCCCACCUCCACCAUCGCCUUCUCCUCCACCACCAUACUACUACAAAUCCCCACCUCCACCAUCGCCUUCUCCUCCACCACCAUACUACUACAAAUCCCCACCUCCACCAUCGCCUUCUCCUCCACCACCAUACUACUACAAAUCCCCACCUCCACCAUCGCCUUCUCCUCCACCACCAUACUACUACAAAUCCCCACCUCCACCAUCGCCUUCUCCUCCACCACCAUACUACUACAAAUCCCCACCUCCACCAUCGCCUUCUCCUCCACCACCAUACUACUACAAAUCCCCACCUCCACCAUCGCCUUCUCCUCCACCACCAUACUACUACAAAUCCCCACCUCCACCAUCGCCUUCUCCUCCACCACCAUACUACUACAAAUCCCCACCUCCACCAUCGCCUUCUCCUCCACCACCAUACUACUACAAAUCCCCACCUCCACCAUCGCCUUCUCCUCCACCACCAUACUACUACAAAUCCCCACCUCCACCAUCGCCUUCUCCUCCCCCACCUUACUAUUACAAAUCCCCACCGCCACCUUCACCAUCUCCCCCACCACCCUACUACUAUAAAUCACCCCCACCACCUUCACCAUCUCCUCCACCACCAUACUACUACAAAUCACCCCCACCGCCAUAUGAACACAAGACUAAACCAUACUAUUACAAGUCUCCUCCACCACCAUAUGAACACAAGACUAAACCAUACUAUUACAAGUCCCCACCACCACCUUCACCAUCUCCUCCACCACCAUACUAUUACAAGUCCCCACCACCACCUUCACCGUCUCCACCCCCACCAUACUACUACAAAUCACCUCCUCCUCCAUCACCUAUUCCCCAUACACCUUACUACUACAAGUCCCCACCACCACCUAAGGUUCUUCCACCACCAUACUAUUACAACUCUCCUCCUCCACCUGUUGUGUAUCAUCACCCUCAUCCCUACCACCAUGCAUUGAUCGUGAAGGUAGUGGGUAACGUCUACAGCUUCAGAUGUUAUGACUGGGAGUAUCCUGAAAAGUCUCAUAACAAGAAACACCUCAAAGGUACAUCACAUUACAUUUCUCAAUUCUUUCAUUUUUAUAGAUUUUAUGUACAUCACUAUUGGCUCGUAGUUUCUCAAUACCAUUACAACUAAACUGCAAGUUUCAGUAAUGAGAUUCAUAUAGACAUGUUUUUAUUAACAUCUUUGUUUCUUAGAAAUUAUACAAACACUUAAUUUAGGUUUCUCCAUGUCCAAUAAAGUAAACAAUUGAUAUAUCAAAUUAACAUAUAUGAUAUAUCAUUUACCUCAUUAAAAUUUAAUAAUCCUGCCUAAUAUAAAGAUUCGGUUUGAAAAUGAUAGUUUAGUGAGCUUCUUUAUAAUAACACUCUCCAAUAUAUUAUGUUUUAAAAACAAUUAUAUUUCUAUUUGUCUAAAUUCAAAUUUGUUAUGGGACAGGUGCUGUUGUUGAAGUGACAUGCAAAGCCGGGAGCAAAAUCAUCAAGGCUUACGGUAAAACUAAGAUCAAUGGAAAGUAUGCCAUCACAGUUAAGGACUUUGACUAUGUCAAAUAUGGUUCAACAGUGUGCAAGGCUGCCCUUUAUGCUCCACCUAAGGGUUCACCCUUCAACAUACCUACAAAGCUAAACCAAGGAACAAACUUGUACUUGAAAUCCAAAGACAAGUACGAGGUUGUGCUCAAGGCUAAGCCAUUUGCUUAUGCUUCAAAGAAACAUUUCAAAGAAUGUGAGAAGUCCAAGCCUUCACCAACUCCUUACUACUACAAAUCACCUCCACCUCCCUCACCAGUUUACAAGUAUAACUCACCACCUCCACCCGUCCAUUAUUACUCACCUCCAUAUUACUACAAGUCACCUCCUCCCCCCGUGAAAGCGGCACCAACUCCUUACUACUACAAAUCACCUCCACCUCCCGCACCAGUUUACAAGUACAACUCCCCACCUCCGCCAGUCCAUUACUAUUCACCUCCAUACACCUAUAAGUCACCUCCUCCUCCUGUGAAAGCAGCACCAACUCCUUACUACUACAAAUCACCUCCACCUCCCGCACCGGUUUACAAGUACAACUCACCACCUCCACCGGUCCAUUAUUAUUCUCCACCAUACUACUACAAGUCACCACCCCCACCAUCUCCAUCACCUCCUCCACCAUACUAUUUCAAAUACUAUUACAAGUCCCCACCUCCACCAUCACCAUCCCCUCCUCCACCUUAUUAUUACAAAUCUCCUCCUCCACCAAAACAAAUUUCACACCCUCCAUACUACUAUAAGUCACCACCCCCACCAUCACCAUCACCUCCUCCACCAUACUAUUAUAAGUCUCCACCUCCACCAUCACCAUCUCCCCCACCACCUUAUUAUUAUAAGUCACCACCCCCACCAUCCCCGUCCCCUCCUCCACCAUACUACUACAAGUCUCCACCUCCACCUAAAGAAAUAUCACAUCCUCCAUAUAACUAUAAGUCACCACCCCCACCAUCACCAUCCCCUCCCCCUCCAUACUAUUACAAAUCUCCUCCACCACCAUCACCAUCACCACCACCUCCCUACUAUUACAAAUCACCUCCACCACCAUCACCAUCACCUCCCCCUCCAUACUAUUACAAAUCUCCUCCACCACCAUCACCAUCACCACCACCUCCUUACUAUUACAAAUCACCUCCACCACCAUCCCCAUCACCACCACCUCCAUACUACUACAAAAGUCCCCCUCCACCAUCUCCAUCUCCUCCAUCCCCAUAUUACUACAAAUCUCCACCACCACCAUCACCAUCCCCACCCCCUCCCUACUAUUACAAAUCACCUCCACCUCCCUCACCAUCACCGCCACCUCCUUACUAUUACAAAUCUCCCCCACCUCCAUCUCCAUCUCCACCACCUCCUUAUCACUAUCAAAGUCCUCCUCCCCCAUCUCCCAUUUCUCAUCCUCCCAACUACUACAAAUCCCCUCCACCACCAUCGCCAUCUCCUCCACCUCCAUACCAUUACGUGAGUCCUCCCCCACCAGUAAAGUCACCUCCACCACCAGCUUACAUCUAUGCUUCUCCACCACCACCAAUCUACAACUAGCCUCACAACACCAAAUCACCAUUGGUGAUAAAUUAUGUAAGUUUACCAUUAUUGCAAUCAUAACACUUGCAUCUUUUCCCACCCAUACACACACAUAUCACAUGUUUAAAUUUUAUGUACUAAUCAACAAAAACUCUUAUUUGUUUUCAGGU